AUUGAACGCUGGCGGCAGGCCUAACACAUGCAAGUCGAGCGGAUGAAGGGAGCUUGCUCCUGGAUUCAGCGGCGGACGGGUGAGUAAUGCCUAGGAAUCUGCCUGGUAGUGGGGGAUAACGUCCGGAAACGGGCGCUAAUACCGCAUACGUCCUGAGGGAGAAAGUGGGGGAUCUUCGGACCUCACGCUAUCAGAUGAGCCUAGGUCGGAUUAGCUAGUUGGUGGGGUAAAGGCCUACCAAGGCGACGAUCCGUAACUGGUCUGAGAGGAUGAUCAGUCCCACUGGAACUGAGACACGGUCCAGACUCCUACGGGAGGCAGCAGUGGGGAAUAUUGGACAAUGGGCGAAGGCCUGAUCCAGCCAUGCCGCGUGUGUGAAGAAGGUCUUCGGAUUGUAAAGCACUUUAAGUUGGGAGGAAGGGCAGUAAGUUAAUACCUUGCUGUUUUGACGUUACCAACAGAAUAAGCACCGGCUAACUUCGUG
rnacentral:rRNA from 1 species